CACAUCAGAGUGUUGAGAAAUGGGAAAGGUUGCAAAAUAUCAAAUAAGUAAAUAAAUAAAGGUUUCUGACAACUCCAAAACUGAACAUAAUAUGAGGGCUAAAAAAAAACACCAUCACGCUGCUUAUCCUUAAAGCAUUUUAAAAUCUCAAAGGGUACAUUUUUGAUUAAAGAUAACUGAGCCCUACUACUCGUAAUGGAAGAAAAAUAAAUUUGACCAGUACUAUUAUGUUUAAGGCUAAAGUGCUCCUUGUCAUUUACGGUAAGUGGGUCUCCAGCACAGGGCCAAAUCAAUAUGAUCCUUGCUCAGCCAGUCAAAAGCAUUUUUUUAAGUUUUACCGUGCAAACCCUUUACGGAAAACAGCAAUACUGGCACACCUUUAUCUGGCGUCCAUGACCUUUACAAACAUCUCUAACGUGAUCUGCAUGGUUAUUUAUUGACCAGAUGUCCUUUAUAUUGGUCUUUGCAUGAAUUUUUCACAUAGCUGAUGAAUUGGCAGCCAAAAUGACAACAACAGUUCAACUCCUUUACUUAUUUCUGGCAUUCUAUCCUCUAUCUGAGGGGAUUCGCCUCAAUUGUCCUUUUCCAUUUCUGAAUCAGAAUGCACACCUGGGUUCAGGGAAACCUUGUGCAACGAUGCAAUUGCAGACCAAGUUGCCUUGUCCCAGUGUGAACCUGUCUGUAAGUGAAAAUGUGCGACUGAAUCCUGCAAAAUGGCAUCUGGAGAGUCUGUCACUGAAGGUGGAAAAAACCUGCAGUAUCAUGGUGUUUCAACAAGACAAAGAAAGCCAACAUUUUCCUGGAGGAUUCUAUUCAAACAUUGAUAUAAAUUCAAUCAAUACUCAGAAAGAAUUUUUGUGUAUUUGUCCAAAAUUGCACAAUAGAUACAAACGUGCUCCCAGAGCUCGUGAUUUUAAUAAAAAACAUCUAGUGGAUAGUCCUAAAUCUCCAUGUGACACAGAGUAUUGGAAGGAGAAGUGGGAUGAUUCAAUGAAUUACAGAAAAAAAUGUGUGAACAAGAAUACAAAGUUUCACGAACCAGAGACACAGUCCUUCAUGGCAAGACAAGAUUUCAAUGAUAUCAGUAAAAUAUUCACACGUGACCCUGAAUAUGAAAUUAAAGCUCAUAAUAACAUUUUAUACAGAAGCAAGAACAAAAUGUAUAUUUAUGAUGUCAAAUUAGAAAAUGGAGUUCCAAAAGUUUGUCAAAGAUGUGAUUAUGUUGUGGCUGCCCUUGACAACAAUGGCAACCCAGUUCAUUAUGAAGCAGUUACAAAAUAUAUUGCUAAACAGUUUCCACAGGAAAAUUUGGAAACUGAAAGAACACUCAAAAAAAUUGAUGCACCUCAAGGAUUAAAAUCAGCAUCCAUGACCACGAUCAAAGAACUGUCAGACAUGCCUGAGAUUGAAGAAUGCAUGACUGAGGUCAAAGAUGAUCUGGCUGAAGUCAAAGAUGAUGCAACUAAGUUUCAAAGUGGUGCAGGCAGAGGUGUUGUGGCUGGAGGUGUUGUGGUUGGAGGUGGUGUCGCCGGAGGUGUCAUGACUGCAGCCGGAGGUGGCGCGACUGCAGCCGGAGGUGGUGUGGCCGGAGGUGGCACAGCUGCAGCCGGAGGUGGUGUCGCCAGAGGUGUCAUGACUGCAGCCGGAGGUGGUGUCGCCGGAGGUGUCAUGACUGCAGCCGGAGGUGACACAGCUGCAGCCGGAGGUGUUGUCGCCGGAGGUGUCAUGACUGCAGCCGGAGGUGGCACAGCUGCACCCACUACUCCAAUUGGAGAAGAGACAACCAUGACCACAACCACGCCUGCGGUUGGAGAAGAGACAACCGUGACCACAACCACGCCAGCGCUUGGAGAAGAGACAACCGUGACCACAACCGCGCCUGCGGUUGGAGAAGAGACCACCGUGACUGCUGUCAGAGAAGAGACAAUCGUGACCACAACCACGACUGCUGUCGAAGACGAGACACCCAUGACUGGUAUCAAAAGUUCUAAAGGAGCAUUGAUCUUCAUAGAAUUUUUUUUAUACCCUUUACACAGAAUUUUUUCUUACCCCUUUUUCUAGUCCAAUAACUCAAAUAUAUAUAUAUAUANAUAUAUAUAUAUAUAUAUAUAUAUAUAUAUAUAUAUAUAUAUAUAGGAAUCAUGAACUGCCUCUGUUUAUUAUUUUGUACUGUUCUCUGAGGUCCACUUAUGAUGCUAUCAAGAUUUUAACAUAAAAAACAUCAUAAUUUAGAAGCAAUAAGCUAUUUUCUUUCCUGUUUUUAACCCCCCCUCAUCAGAACACUCUGUUUGAAUAGGUAUGGAGGAUUUGUAGACUUGGAAGUAUACGCCCACUGCUAUGAUUGGCUAAUAGUUGUGUAUUUUUGACAGAUGUUUGACACUAUAUCCACAAACCUGUGGGCCGGGCUAAACAUACAGCGAUGUAGAAGCAGGUGUUGAUCUUCUUCUAUGGAGGCAGUGUUUACCCACACUAUAACGUAAUAGAGUUGUACAUUCCACAAGCGGUCAUUUUGGCAGACUGCCUUCAAUAUAAGCUGUUUUUAAACUAACAGGAAAGUUUUGAGUUCAGAAACUUACAGGAUGUUUUUACAGUACAAUGACCUCUUAUAUGUCAAAAGAUCAAUGGAAUUCUGGUUUCUCAGCUCAUGACCCCUUUAAUACCUGAGAUAUAUUGUAUUAACCUCAAUAUAUCCCAAUUAGGGAAAAAAAAGUUUAUAAACAAAUAGCAACACAAUUAACAGUAACUAACAAUUUGGUCAAACACAUAAAAGUUGUUUCUCUAGCAUUGUUAAUAAUAAAUGCAUUUAGAUUAUACCUGUGAAUUGUACC
ensembl:lncRNA